rnacentral:rRNA from 1 species
AGAGUUUGAUCAUGGCUCAGAUUGAACGCUGGCGGCAUGCCUUACACAUGCAAGUCGAACGGUAACGCGGGGCAACCUGGCGACGAGUGGCGAACGGGUGAGUAAUGUAUCGGAACGUGCCCAGUAGUGGGGGAUAGCCCGGCGAAAGCCGGAUUAAUACCGCAUACGACCUACGGGUGAAAGAGGGGGAUCGCAAGACCUCUCGCUAUUGGAGCGGCCGAUAUCAGAUUAGGUAGUUGGUGGGGUAAAAGCCUACCAAGCCGACGAUCUGUAGCUGGUCUGAGAGGACGACCAGCCACACUGGGACUGAGACACGGCCCAGACUCCUACGGGAGGCAGCAGUGGGGAAUUUUGGACAAUGGGCGCAAGCCUGAUCCAGCCAUGCCGCGUGCGGGAAGAAGGCCUUCGGGUUGUAAACCGCUUUUGUCAGGGAAGAAAUCCUUUGGGCUAAUACCCCGGGGGGAUGACGGUACCUGAAGAAUAAGCACCGGCUAACUACGUGCCAGCAGCCGCGGUAAUACGUAGGGUGCAAGCGUUAAUCGGAAUUACUGGGCGUAAAGCGUGCGCAGGCGGUUGUGUAAGACAGAUGUGAAAUCCCCGGGCUCAACCUGGGAACUGCAUUUGUGACUGCACAGCUGGAGUGCGGCAGAGGGGGAUGGAAUUCCGCGUAGCAGUGAAAUGCGUAGAUAUGCGGAGGAACACCGAUGGCGAAGGCAAUCCCCUGGGCCUGCACUGACGCUCAUGCACGAAAGCGUGGGGAGCAAACAGGAUUAGAUACCCCGGUAGUCC